CGGGCGGCCGUGACCCUGCUGGAGUGCGGGGGGGACCUCCAGCCCCCCGGGGGUUCCCUGCGCCUCCUCUGCCGAGGGUCCGGGUUCAGUUUUGGCAGUUUUGGGAUGGGCUGGGUGCGCCAGAGACCCGGGCAGGGGCUGGAAUACGUCGCUGGGAUCACCAACACUGGUGGUUGGACCGAGUACACGAAUUCGUUCAAGGGCCGGUUCAGGAUCUCCAGGGACAACGGGCGGAGCUCGGUGAUGCUGACCGUGAACAACCUCAAGGACGAGGAUUCCGCCACCUAUUUCUGUGCCAAAUCUGGUCGUACUAAUGGUGGUUGGGCUGUUGCUGCUGAUCCUUCUGACGCGUCCUCAUCCCUGUCACGGUCACAGCCGCCUGCAGCCCUGUGGGACAAAGGGGAGAUGGGGAUGAUGAGACCCAUUGGUUGUGCAGUCAAAGUGGGCGCUGCCAUUCCAGAAGAAGGGUGUGGGAUCCACCUGGGAUGA